rnacentral:rRNA from 1 species
GAUCAGUGGCUCAGGACACGCUGGCGGCGUGCUUAACACAUGCAAGUCGAACGGUGACGAAUGGAGCUUGCUCUGUUCUGAUCAGUGGCGAACGGGUGAGUAACACGUGAGUAACCUGCCCCUGACUCUGGAAUAACUUCGGGAAACCGAAGCUAAUACCGGAUAUGACACAGAGCCGCAUGGUUCUGUGUGGAAAGUUUUCGGUUGGGGAUGGACUCGCGGCCUAUCAGCUUGUUGGUGAGGUAAUGGCUCACCAAGGCGACGACGGGUAGCCGGCCUGAGAGGGCGACCGGCCACACUGGGACUGAGACACGGCCCAGACUCCUACGGGAGGCAGCAGUGGGGAAUAUUGCACAAUGGGCGAAAGCCUGAUGCAGCGACGCCGCGUGAGGGAUGAAGGCCUUCGGGUUGUAAACCUCUUUCAGUAGGGAAGAAGCGCAAGUGACGGUACCUACAGAAGAAGCACCGGCUAACUACGUG